CAGGUUUCCAUUCACCAUAGGUCCCUCCACCCUUUUCAGCAAGAACUGUACCGGGUAGCAGUGGGAAUGUUGUGGAGCCUUCCCCUUACCAUACCCAGGCACACACACACACAGACACACUACAGACACACUUGCUACACAAUGUAAACACAGAGAGACACAUACGCAAUUGUGCACAUGCACACACUCAGACAGAUACACAGAGACUAUUAUGCACACAGAGAGACAUAUACACACAUGUGCAUGUGCACACGUGUGUACAUGUCUACAUACGGAUAUACAUGUGCACAAAUGAACAUGUAAAUUUGUGUACAAAUGCAUACACGAAUGCACACAUAGACAGACAGACACAUAUGCAGAUACACAUACAUGCACACACACACUUAAGCACACAUCCACAGGGACAAGAUGAUGCCAUUUGCAUUUGGUGGAAAGUUCUGGGAGCAAAAUGGAGGAGGAAUGAGGGACAGGGAAAGCAGAGGCCACUCAGGAUAUUUCAGUCAGAGAUCUCAUCCCAAUACUUCCAAGUCUCGAGGUAGGAAAGGGGCAGCAGCAGCAGAGGGAGGAGGUGGACUGCGGGCAUGCAUCUGAGCAAGGCCCCAGGUGGUGUGGGGAACAGAAGUGAAGGGUACAGAGGGUCAGUGAGGUCUCCCAGGGUCUCACUGGGAGCAGUGAUGAGAAUACAGAACACAGGAGCCAGGGUACAUUUGAGAGGAAGGAGAUCAAUUCCGCCUGCAGGGAGAAAGGCAACUGCAAUGGGAGCCGUGGGCAUCCUUGUGGGGAUGUUUAGAGCGGGCUGGAUGCUUUGCUUGGAGUUCAGGAGGUCUGGCGGGAAAGGGGAGGUGAGGGGACGUCAGCUCCAAGGUGGGAUCUGUAGCCUGGACUGGACCAACUCUCCCAGGGAUGCUCGAGGGACGGGGCUUGUCGAGGAUCCCUGGGGCUCGUACAAUAAAGGCCAAGGCGAGGUGGAGGAUACACACAAGGAAGCCAUUGUUUAUCUUGCUAACUCUCAAUGCAGAUGUUUACUACUUCCCAUUCUGAUGACAUUCUCCCUUCCAGAUAUGUUUUUUUCAGAAGGAAUCAAACCCAAGAGUAAUGAUGGCUAAUUACAAAAAUUUAAGAACAUCCAUUCACAGGAUCCAAACAAUAUAAUCACCAACUACACGGCAAACUUGAAGGGCCUUUAUGAAGGUCAGGGAGUGGCAGGAUCCUGUCUCCAGGUCAGCCACCUUCACUGGCUUAGAGUCUCAAUUCUGUUAUUCUGAGCAUCAGGUGAGCUUGGGCCAGAGUUUCCUCUCGUGUCUUUGGUGAUGUCUCCCGGGGAGAGCAGAGCAUCUUCCUGACCACUGCGUGAGUGGGCAGUUCAGCGAGGCCUUGGGCAGAUUUUCAUCCACCAUAGGUCCCUGCCAACCCCUUACUUCUGGUGAAAUUAUGGGCAAGUCAGGUAGCCUUUCUAAGAUGUAGUUUCUUCAGCAAAGUCAUGGUUUGGAAGGAACUUUGCAUAUUUUAAGUCUACCUAUUAAUGUGAAGAAUGUUGUCCCUAUUAUGUGUUUAUAUUUUGCAAGGUACUACACUGUGGUCAAUAUUAAAAGUCAAACACAUUAUUAUCAAACAUGUUAUAAAUUUCCAAAAUCCAUAGUGCUGUUGAAACAAUAUUUGAGGUCUGCAAAUAUCUAGAUGACACCAGUCCCUACACGGGGACCAUCACAGCCUCACCUCCUCUGUGCCUCUUCUUGGUAUUUUUGUGACCUGGACCGCCGUGACACUCGGCCUUGGGCUCCAGGCCUCCCUAACACCUCACCUCCCACUAAAGAGUCCAGCGUUUCUUCCCCCUCUCUGCCCAUUUGUCUCCCCAUGUCCGCCUUUCCUCUCUGGGUGAUUGUCAGCUUUCCAGCCUAACUCUUGUCCACCUGGGCCUGAGGAGACAAGUGGUCCCCUCUCUUUGCCUUUUCUCUGGUAUAUGCCCAUGUCUGGAUCUUCCCUCUCCCUCACCCAUGAAAGGAUUAUUUCAUUCAGUCCUGAGAUUUAACCUCAGCCUCUCAAGGAACGUGAGCCGCAGAAGACACAGGCAGGAGCUGGUGCUGGGAAACCAGAUCCUGGUGGGUGGCCAUGUCCAAGAUCUUGGGAAUAGCAUGAAUAUGUGUGCUCAUCAUCGGAACAAAACUGCACUUGAUUUCAGGGGACAGAGCUUGACAAUGGUAAUGGUUUAGAGGAUCUGGAGCCCUCAAUAGCAUCAGGGCAGAGGAAGGGCCGGCCACACAGUCAUAAUAAUUUUUAUCCUAUGUUCCCAAAUUACCUAGUAAAUGGAUAGAUAGAUGGUGAAUAAAUGGAUAGUGGGUGGGUGAGUGGAUGAAUGGAUAGUGGAUGGUUGAUGGAAGGACUGAAGGAUGGUGGGUGGAUAGUAGGUGGAUGGAUUGAUAGUAGGUAGUGAAUGUAUGGUGAAAGGAUGGAAGGAUGGUGGACGGAUGGUGGGUGGAUGGAUGGAUGGUGGUUAGGUGGGUGAUGGAUGGAUAGUGGAUAGAUGAGUAGAUGGAUAGAUAGAUCAAUGUAUGGAAGGAUGGAUAGAUGUUGCAUGGAUGGGGGAUAAAUGACAGGAUUUUGAAUGGAUAGUGGGAGGAGGGAUGGAUGAUGGCUGCCUGGCUGGAUAGUGUAUAGAUGAGCAGAUGACUGGAUGGAUGGAUAGAUGAGGGACGCAUGGUGGAUAAAUAGGUGGGUGGACGGAUGAAUGGACGAAUGGAUGAAUGGCUAGAUGGAUGGAAGGAUGAUGGAUGGAUGGAUGGUGAAUGAAUAGAUGAACAGAUGAGGGAUAGAUGAAUGGAUGAAUAAAUGGUGGAUGGAUGGCUUGUGGAUGUGUGCACGAUGGAUGGUGGAUAGAUGGAUGGAUGGAUGGAUGGCUAGAUGGAUGGAUGAAUGAAUACCUAUGAGGCAACGAUUGCCAAGGCACACUUGGACACUUCUAAGGUAAGUGAGUCUAAUCCAAUUGAGCAUCACUGUGAGCUCUAUGCACAGCUGCUCCAUCUACUGCUCUUCCUUUCUCGUCCCUACCUUAUUCUGGAUUGGGGAGAUGUCCAAUUCUGACAAGGUUGUGGUCCUUUCACAGUUCUCCUCUCAAUGAGCUCAUCAACAGCCCCUCCCCUUCAGGAUAUUAGGGUCUUCGCAGUUUCUGUGGAAAUCUCAUCGGACAUUUCCCACCAGUGUCAGCUUCCUCAGCUGACGCGAUGGGACGGCAGACUCAAGUGGAGGGACAACUUGCUGUUUGCCUCUCGUAUCUCCAUCAACCAUAUGAUCUCUUUCCUUGUUUCACCUGACUUCACAGCCCAUUUUCCUGAGCCAUGGACAUCUGCUCUGACAUUAGUCAUUUUAAAGACAUCUGGGCUCAGUCCCUUCAAUCUUGUUACAUUUUUCUCCAUAAAGCCCUUAUUACCGACAUCUUUUUUCCCAAGCUUUCAGGAAAAUGGUAUACAAAGUGCUGAGCAGGAACCAUUGAUAUCACCAGAGUAAAGUGAUGCCAUCCCUGCCACCCUUCGGCUUCAGAAUGAACUUCAAGGUUUUUGGAAUUCAGAACGCACAACAUGGGGGUGUCCCUCCCUCUCGUCCCACCCCUGAGCUCCCCAAUACCAAUCCUGGGGUACUGGAAACAGGCCUCAUCUCCUACCUGCACAUUGGAGCCAGGCAGUGGCCUGCCAUAUAGGUCCUAUGUCUUCUAAUUAUUAAUGUGCUGGUGUUUCUAGGACACUUCACACGAUAAAGAUGGUGGUGGUGUUAAUGAAAAUAAGGGAGAGUCACCACCAUGUACUAAGAACUAAUUACAGUGUGGUUCCCUG
ensembl:lncRNA